rnacentral:piRNA from 1 species
UCACUAUGUAGUUUUUCCUGGUUUGGAAC